AUUAUUUUAAUAAUACUAAAUAAAGAUUAAAUACUUUUUAUAACAACUUUUAUAGGAAUUUGAUGUGUGUGACAUAAUAAAUAGUACUUAUGUAUGAUGAAUUUUAUUUGGCAGUGUGAGUAGUACCCAGCGCUUUAUUUAGUUGAACACAAUAAUUUAAACAAUGUGGUGCUUUAGAGGGUUUAAAUGUUUGUUUAUCUGGGUUGAAACUUUUUCUGCUUCUAGGUAGGACAUUAGAACGUGGCUGUUGACUAUAUCCAUGUUCAUUACGUUUCCAUUUUGGAACUCUACCAACUGCCAAAUUUUUUCUUCCACCAAUUUGAGUUUUUCUUCUGGAUCUCGCUGUAGGCUGAGUACCUAUGCGUUUAUUUCCCAUUAAUUUUAAGUGUUUGGAUUUUGGAUCAAUACCUGAAUAUCUUCCAAAUGACAUAAUUGCAGAUAACAGAGCAUAGUGAGUCCUAAUAUUUUUGUCAAAUGAUUUGCUCAUAGCUUCAAUACAUGGCAAAAAGUAUUCUUUAUCUGAUUCUAUUGCAUUUUUCAUUUUCUGUAAAAAUAUUGUAAAAUAUCUGCAUUUCAUCGUCAACUAAUUGUCUACAUAAAUCUUCAUUGCUUCCCAUCAUCAUAUCAAUAGCUGUACUUGUGCUUGUAUCAAUAAAAUCUUCUUUCUUUUCAUGUUGAUUAGUAUUAACUUUAGGUCCUACAGAUAGUUUAUUUUCUUUAAUUGUUGAGUGUAUUUCAAAAGUACUAUUAUUAGAAAUGUUGAUUGAACUGUACCUGCCAAUUUCAAUAUUAGAAUUUCCUGUGGCAAUUAUAUGUAACUUUUUUCUUACAUCUUCAGUAGAAGGUAAACAAAGAGAAAGAUCAAUUUUCAAACUGAGAGCUACAAAUAUUUGGUGUUUACAAGGUUUACCUGACUCACCUUCUGGACAUGUACAUAUUCCUACAUCUAAGUCUACAUUAUAUUGAGCUGGGCGAUUUGCUGCUACAUCUAUUAGUUUCAUCUCAUAGAAAGCAUCAAGAUCAUUCACAAUAAAAAAAAAAUAAUUGAACUGGUGAAUAAGCUUUAGUUUGGUCUAAUAUAGUAUCUUUAACAAUUUUAACUCCAGCUUCACAAAUAUUAUUGGUGUUUUGACCACGUGUUAUUAAAGUUUUCCUGUGACAAAGUGCCCAUUCUUUCUGUCGUUGAUAUAAUCCAAUUACUUCUUCACAUGUUACUGAGUAUAACAGUUUUUUUAUUAUAAUAGCAAUGACAAAAUUUUUAUCUUCAAGAGUUUCCAUUAGAGCACAAGUUGAACUGCAUUCUAUAUUAAACUGUUCUACAGCUUCUUUAAGAGAGUUCAUCAUAGGCUCACCAUGAGAUGCUCCAAAGUGUGUAUUAAAACUUUUUCUCUACAAUAAAAUUAAAAAAGCCUACAGUGAGAUCCAGAAGAAAAACUCAAAUUGGUGGAAGAAAAAAUUUGGCAGUUGGUAGAGUUCCAAAAUGGAAACGUAAUGAACAUGGAUAUAGUCAACAGCCACGUUCUAAUGUCCUACCUAGAAGCAGAAAAAGUUUCAACCCAGAUAAACAAACAUUUAAACCCUCUAAAGCACCACAUUGUUUAAAUUAUUGUGUUCAACUAAAUAAAGCGCUGGGUACUACUCACACUGCCAAAUAAAAUUCAUCAUACAUAAGUACUAUUUAUUAUGUCACACACAUCAAAUUCCUAUAAAAGUUGUUAUAAAAAGUAUUUAAUCUUUAUUUAGUAUUAUUAAAAUAAUAAUUACAAGUGUUCAAUGUUAUUAUUUUCCAACUAUAAAACUAGCUUUUUAAUAAUAAAAUGAUUAUUGAUAUCAGAAUGUGUUGAUAAUUCAGUAAUAACUAGUCAGAUGAUAAUAGUGAAUAGAGGCGGUAGGGAGGUUGAAAAAGCUGUGACACGUUUUAAAAUUUUGCACACGGGCGAGCGCCAGCCUAGAGCAAAAGGCGGUGCCAUGUCAUAGUUUUUUACCAUGGCAGUCAGUUAAACUAUUGUUUUGGUUACAGUGAUAAAGAAUUUGAAUUAUGAUAUUAUAAUGCGCAUUCUAAAAAUAACUGGUUGAUUUAAAAGUAGUCAAUUGUUAUAACUUAACUUACUUACUAAUUUUGGUUUUUUUUUUUUUAUCAUAUGCCUUUAUUUAAAAAUGUUAUGGCUCAACAAUUAAUGUGUGAAACAAUAGUAAAUAUUACAAAUGCAUAUAUUUACACCAAAAGAAGUAACAGGAGUGAAAACAAAAAUGAAGUAAAAAUUAUUUACUAGAGAUAUUCAUAUUAUAAGUUGAAAAUAUAAUAAAGUACUAUAGCCAGUCAUUAUGAGUAAAUUAAAUGAAGCAGCCAGCAUACAAAAGAAAAGAUUCAAUUGAGUUACUAAUGGACACAAUAGGGCAAUUAAGGUUUAGAAAAGGAUGGGGAUUAGUUAUACCAAGAGUGGCUAGGUAGUUGAAUAACAAGGACCUACUGGAAUUGAGAGAAAGGCAAAAUAAUAAAAAAUGAGAGAAAUUACCAAUAAAUUCCUCCUGGUGAAGGUGACAGUAGGAAACAGAAUUAAGGUUAAGUUUGAAGGUGAAAUAGGGUAGAAGAUUGUGACCAACUCUUAAGUGGGAAAAAUCGACUAAAGAUUGCCUCAAACUUUGUUCAAUAGCACCGAUUAAUCACCCCAUACCUCAAAUUUUCCCUUGUCCCAUCUUCUUGAUCUCCCCCGCAAAUCUAAUUUGGGUCAAAAUAUUAAAAUUAAAAUUUUUAUAUUCUAAAACAUUUAUUCAUAUUUAUUAUUAUUUUAUGUUAAUUUAAAUAUUUUAUUUACAAUAGUUGUGUUUUUUGCUUACAUUCAGAUAUAUUUUUUUUAAUGUGUAAUAAAUUAUUUUAUAUUAGUGCCUUUACUAUUAAUUAUAAUCAAAAAUCAGUUAUAUCAUCUUAUAUAGUCUUUUAUUUCUAAAGAAGUAUUAUGAAAAUAAAUGUUUAUUCUUAUUAUGUUGCCUAGUGAUUAACAAUUAGUAAACUUUAAUAAAUUUCAUUGAAAAACUUAAACAAUAAAAGCUGAGAUUUCUCAUUAAAUAUUUAUCAUGGAAGUUGACUCAAUACAUGAAAUAUAUCAAAAAGAAUCAUCUCAAGAUAGUAUCGACACAAAUAUUAAAGAUUUUGAAGAUAUUAUUCAAGAAAAUGAGUUACACAAUAAUAUCACCUUAGAGAAAAAUAAUUCUCCUAAUUGGAUACAAAAACAUUUAAACAGAUUUUUCAAAUUUGAUAAAAAUUUGUCAACUAAGAAGCUUAAAAAUCAAAUA